UACGUAGGGUGCGAGCGUUAAUCGGAAUUACUGGGCGUAAAGCGUGCGCAGGCGGUUUUGUAAGCCGGAUGUGAAAUCCCCGGGCUUAACCUGGGAAUGGCCAUGGAAACUGGCGAGCUGGAGUGUGGCAGAGGGGGGUGGAAUUCCGCGUGUAGCAGUGAAAUGCGUAGAGAUGCGGAGGAACACCGAUGGCGAAGGCAGCCCCCUGGGCUAACACUGACGCUGAGGCACGAAAGCGUGGGGAGCAAACAGG
rnacentral:rRNA from 1 species